CACCAAACACAACCUAGGACUUCUCUCCAUAGGAGGCACCUAACUUCAUCUUUCACUGAGUAGAAGUGAUGGGAGCUUUUGGGCUAGAGUGUCUGAGGCAAGCAUGGUGAAGCCAGGAUGACUUUUGCUUCACUGAUACAGACAUGGAGACGAGCAUUUUGAUGUAUACAGGAACAACCCUGACACACUUGUGUCCUAGUCUCGGUUUAACUACUGUGCUCAUCAGAGACAGACACCUGGGGAUCUACUCACAGGGUUGUCGUGAAGCUCAGUUAACUGGAAAUCUGGACACCUGACAAAACUUGUGGGUCAAAAGGACUAAAGAGAAUAUCAAACAAAAAACACCAGUGCUACAUGGAAUAAAAAAUCUUUCCCGAUUUAAGAAUGAUCAAAUUGAAGCUCAUGACUACACACAGAGAAAGAAAACACCCUUAUAACAGAGCCUAACACAGACAAAAUGCUGUUUGUGGAAUCACUUUUAUUAAACUAUGUACCUUGAAACGUUACAGUAUUCAUUAAAAUCUAGACAUGUUAUUAACCCUCUGUGCCAGCAGAAAUAUUACCUGUAUCUAUGAGUCUCAAUGGGAGCAUUCAAAAUUGAGCAGAGUAUUUUUAAUUGUCACAGUGCCUCGGGAGCACUGCUAGUACUAAGUGACCUUUACACUAAGGAAGUUACGUGAUCUGCAAUGCAACAGCACUGCACAGAAAAGGACUGUCCCAGCAAGAGCAUCUCCGCUGAGAAACAAUAUU